CAGUAGCCACGGUAAUACGAAGGGGGCUAGCGUUGCUCGGAAUUACUGGGCGUAAAGGGAGCGUAGGCGGACAUUUAAGUCAGGGGUGAAAUCCCAGAGCUCAACUCUGGAACUGCCUUUGAUACUGGGUGUCUUGAGUGUGAUAGAGGUAUGUGGAACUCCGAGUGUAGAGGUGAAAUUCGUAGAUAUUCGGAAGAACACCAGUGGCGAAGGCGACAUACUGGAUCAUUACUGACGCUGAGGCUCGAAAGCGUGGGGAGCAAACAGGAUUAGAUACCCCAGUAGUCCCUGUCUCUUAUAC
rnacentral:rRNA from 1 species